UACGUAGGGUCCGAGCGUUGUCCGGAAUUAUUGGGCGUAAAGAGCUCGUAGGUGGUUUGUCGCGUUGUUCGUGAAAACUCACAACUCAAUUGUGGGCGUGCGGGCGAUACGGGCAGACUGGAGUACUGCAGGGGAGACUGGAAUUCCUGGUGUAGCGGUGGAAUGCGCAGAUAUCAGGAGGAACACCGGUGGCGAAGGCGGGUCUCUGGGCAGUAACUGACGCUGAGGAGCGAAAGCGUGGGGGGAGCGAACAGG
rnacentral:rRNA from 1 species